rnacentral:tRNA from 1 species
GGCGGGAUAGCUCAGCAGGUUAGAGCGUCGGAUUCAUAACCCGGAGGUCUCGAGUUCAAUUCUCGAUCCCGCUA